rnacentral:rRNA from 1 species
AACGAACGCUGGCGGCAGGCUUAACACAUGCAAGUCGAACGCAUCCUUCGGGGUGAGUGGCAGACGGGUGAGUAACGCGUGGGAACGUGCCCUUCAGUUCGGGAUAACCCAGGGAAACUUGGGCUAAUACCGGAUAAUGUCUUCGGACCAAAGAUUUAUCGCCUUUGGAUGGGCCCGCGUUGGAUUAGCUAGUUGGUGGGGUAAAGGCUCACCAAGGCGACGAUCCAUAGCUGGUCUUAGAGGAUGAUCAGCCACACUGGGACUGAGACACGGCCCAGACUCCUACGGGAGGCAGCAGUGGGGAAUAUUGGACAAUGGGCGAAAGCCUGAUCCAGCAAUGCCGCGUGAGUGAUGAAGGCCUUAGGGUUGUAAAGCUCUUUUACCCGGGAUGAUAAUGACAGUACCGGGAGAAUAAGCUCCGGCUAACUCCGUGCCAGCAGCCGCCGUAA